UACGUAGGUGGCAAGCGUUGUCCGGAUUUACUGGGCGUAAAGGAUGCGUAGGCGGACAUUUACGUCAGAUGUGAAAUACCCGAGCUUAACUUGGGUGCUGCAUUUGAAACUGGGUGUCUAGAGUGCAGGAGAGGUAAGUGGAAUUCCUAGUGUAGCGGUGAAAUGCGUAGAGAUUAGGAAGAACACCAGUGGCGAAGGCGACUUACUGGACUGUAACUGACGCUGAGGCACGAAAGCGUGGGGAGCAAACAGG
rnacentral:rRNA from 1 species